CUCUGUACAGAGGGAGGAAGGGGCCAUAUGUCCUUGAAGCAAAGAAAUGCAAACUAUUCCUGUGACAAAUACAGGGAGGAGGUGGGGGGGGGGGAUUGGGCUGCCCUAAGGUGCCUGGGAGGGUCACCGACGUCUUCCUCCCUUGCGAGGUAAUGGCAGCCAGCGGGGAGCAGGCUCAGCUGUUCCCCGAUGGAAACUGAGGAGCCUGGGGACUCGCCUCUCUAGCCAGCCAUCCCUCUUCUGGAGGUGAGCCCAGGGGGAUUCUCCACUCUACCAGGCUUUUCCUCAGAAAGCAUUUGAAAUUGGCUCUAGCGCACAAAUUCGCAGUGAUCCAGGCACCUGGGGUCGACUCCAGGUGGUGCGCCCAACCGUCUAGCCUGAAAAAGGUGUAAGGCAGGUGUAACUAGAUCUCCACCCCCAGUCCACCCUGCCAAAAAGGAAUUCGAGAAUGUUUGCCCAGACUGCCCAUGCUUCCUGGUGUGUCCUCUGGAUGCCCUGCUGGAGGAAUGAACUCCACCGUAACCCCAUGGCAUGUGAAGCUGACAUUUCACAAUCGAUUCACUGAAGUCUUUGGAGUUCUCCUGCAUGUCUCAGCUGUGCUAAGGGGUAGAGCGUGAAGAUAGAUGGUGAAUUGCACUCAGCAUCCAUUCCAGUUUCUUUCUUCACAAACUGGGGAGGCUGGAAAACCAAAAACUAGAUUUCCUUGCACCUUGAGGGUCCAGGUGUCAAUUACAUUCUGCCAGUUAUAUGCACUCUCCCAAGAUUUGGAAGAGGAGACGAAGCUGAACAUACUGCUCCUGCUGAGGACAGAGCAUGGAAGGGCAGAUGCAUUCCUUGGCGCCUACAUGGAAUUCAGUGGGACAGAAUUACUUUUGCGAGGUCAGCUGGCAAGUUCCCUUGCCUGGACUAACUCACUGAAGGUCUGGACUUUAUUCACAAGCAAAACUACCACAUCCUCUUAUAGAAAAUAUUCGCAUUAUGUUAUUCACUUCACUGUUUGUGUGGUACUUCCUGCAUGUCCUCAGUCAUCACAUCCUGUAGCUCCGACAGGAGCAAGAAGUAAGCCUGAUAUUAUAAUGCUCAUUUUCCCAAUUAAGACACCAACGUUCAGAGAGUACGAUCCAAGGGACCCUGAUGAAUAUCUCGCCAGGGCUCCAAAAUGUCAGACCUUGCAGUGCCUGCAAUUCCAAAUCCAGUUCCUGGAUGAAGCACUGAACUCUCUACAGGUUCUCCUUUUAAAAUCAAAUUCUCUGUGAUGGAGGGGCGUACACUGAGUUCGUAAUACGCCACUGUGAACGGUUCCUGAUCUUGUCCAUGAUAAAAGGGAUGUGGUGGCAGAGAAGCCCUCCAUGCCUACAAGGUGGGGAGUGGGGGAUGAGUUUGAGAAGGCACUUGCCAGGAGAGGAACCAACCAACGCCAGUGUUAUAUUUCUUGGACAUCGUAACGUUUCUAAUGGCCAGCCCUGCUGUCACGCAUCUUUUCAGGAUGGGAGAAGGUCACAGAUCUGCUGUAGGGACAGCCAUCACAGCUGGAGGGGAGAAGGGUGGAUUUGAGAGUGUGAAACUGGCACAGGAGCCAGCCUCCUUCCUUUGCCAGGAAGCUUGGCAGGAUCGGGCCCCCAGAACACCCUGUGUGUGCCGGGCCCUGCCAGGGACCCUGAAGCUAGAAUGGCAACAUUACCAGCCUAGGUAAAGAGACGACAGCUAAGGAGGAUUUAUUUUUUCAGCGGUUUACUGGAUGAUUUCCCCAUGCUCAGACAAGGCUAUCAACAGGGGCAGCCUUGCACGUCUCCAGCACGCCUCACCCUUCCUGCGAACUGCAUUCGAGUGGUGUUUGCUGUCGGCAUUGAUGUCCUGUCCCCUACCAGCGUGGCUGACAAAGAGAACUCACAGGAGACAGCCCAGAGCCAACCAGGAGACGCUAACCCAGGAAGAUGGAACUGCAGAACGCAUCACCUGGUUGAAGCCAGCCGAAACUUCAUUUCUCCCCUUUAUUAAUGUUUUCCAGAGGAGGCACUGGACUCGGGGGUGGCUCACAAAAGAAUUUGAUAGGAAGAUGUGACACCUCAUCUUAAAUUCCUUCACUGUAUUUCUGAAGUUGACGGGCGUGUUGAGGAGUGAGGCUAAUAAAGUCCGCUGUCCCCUCCAAGCGGACUAAUCAGACGUGAAGUCUUGGCAAGAGAUAACCAGGUUAGAGGAGAGCCAAAAUGACAUCACAUCAACUCCAUUUCAGAUCCUGUACACACCAGUGCCUAUCACUGCUCCAGGUGGCUGGCAUCCUCCGCACACAAGAGAAAAUCAGAACACCAAAGGCCAGUCGGAAACUUUUCAAAUUCAGUUCCUUAGGGAUGACAAGGGUGAGUUGGAGCAGAGGCCUGAACAAAAGGAAGACGAAAUCGUCUGUUUCCAACCGCUUGUCUGGUCAACUGUGGGGAUGAUCGGGGCCUGUGAGGUCAUUUUAUAAGUGAUUUCUCACAUUUAAUUAUGUCAGAUUCCUGGCCCGUGGCCGCUUUUCAAGCUGGCAUGAUUUGUCAUCUCUAAUAUGAUAUAAAACAGGGUCCUGUCCUCUGUGAAGCUACCUAAGCUUGUUUUGCUUCUGCAGACACCCCAUCUGUGUGUGAACCCCACCUAAUGAACCCCUGAGCGGUGCUGUCUCUGCAGGAAUUUCCUGCUCCCCUUCUGCCCAUGCCCACCACCUCCAGUCACCCCGGUGUGAGCCCCAGCACAGUGUCUGGCAGAUCGAAGGUGUCCAAUAAAAGGUUUAGUGGAUGAUGUCCCCUGGGAGACACCUUGCUCCAAGGUUGAGGUAAAAAGGCAUCAAACCACACUGAUUCCACCAGCUCCCGAGCCCUCUCACAGAAUGUGAGCAAAUUCUU
ensembl:lncRNA